rnacentral:tRNA from 1 species
GGGCGUGUGGCGGAACGGCAGACGCAGUUGACUUAGGAUCAAAAAGAUGCAGGUUCGAAUCCUGCCAUGCCUACCA